CAUGACUCAGUGGGUAGAGCAUGAGACUCAAUCUCAGGGUUGUGGGUUUGAGCCCCACAUUGGA